AAAACAAGCAAUUAUCAUAGUAUUGCAAGCAAUCCAUAAGUCCCCUACCGGUAAGAACCCCAGCAACAUUCUGAUGGGCCAUUGGCCAUUCAAUUUUACCAGUGAAUGAAUGACAUGAAUGAACUUAUAUCUUUUGAGUUCUAAGUUUGUCUAUAUCACAGUAAUGUGUUAAGUUUCCCUGCCUAUUCAAAGGGGACAUAAUUCUGGAAAUAGUCUUGCUAGAGUAUUUAACCUUCUCAAAAAUGUUAAGUGAUAAUAAGAAACAUAUAUAUGAAGUUUGAAGUAGAUACAUUAGGAAAUAAAGAAGUUAUUUAAAAAAGACAACUUUUUUUUUC